rnacentral:rRNA from 1 species
CAGCAGCCGCGGUAAUACGUAGGUGGCAAGCGUUGUCCGGAAUUAUUGGGCGUAAAGGGCUCGCAGGCGGUUUCUUAAGUCUGAUGUGAAAGCCCCCGGCUCAACCGGGGAGGGUCAUUGGAAACUGGGAAACUUGAGUGCAGAAGAGGAGAGUGGAAUUCCACGUGUAGCGGUGAAAUGCGUAGAGAUGUGGAGGAACACCAGUGGCGAAGGCGACUCUCUGGUCUGUAACUGACGCUGAGGAGCAAAAGCGUGGGGAGCGAACAGGAUUAGAUACCCGAGUAGUCCCUGUCUCUUAUAA